AGCCACAGGCUUAUCACCCUGCAGCUCAAGACCGGUUACUCACUGAAACUAAACAGGGCUGAGCCUGAUCAGUACCUGGAUUGGAGACUACAUGGGAAAACUAGGUUGCUAUUGGAA
rfam:Danio rerio chromosome 12 genomic contig CTG1221, GRCz11 reference primary assembly.